AGGGGAUUAGCAUAGUGGCCUAAUGCAACGGGCUUUGACCCCGUGAUCGGUUGUUCGAAUCAACCAUCCCCUG
rnacentral:tRNA from 1 species